rnacentral:rRNA from 1 species
AUGGAUAACAUUAGUUCAGUGAUCCUUUGGAAACAUACGGCAAGUGGGCAAUACUCGGCGGCCUCCGCAUACAAGGCGCAAUACCUAGGGAUGGUCCUCUCCCACAUGGAUAAGAUGGUUUGGAAGGCUUGGGCACCUUCAAAAAUCAAAUUCUUUGCUUGGUUGCUGCUCCAAGAUAGAAUUUGGACCGCCGAUAGGUUGACAAAGCGUGGGUGGCCAAAUUGUGAUCUUUGCCCUCUUUGCAAGAGGGUGCAAGAAUGCGGACCUCACCUCUUCUACAAAUGCCGCUAUACUCAAAGGCUUUGGUCACUGGUCAUCGAGAAAUUCCUCAUUCUCGGGCUAGACACUUCCGCUUGGCCCUUCUUUGACUCGUUUAAAGAUUGGUGA